rnacentral:rRNA from 1 species
GAUGAACGCUGGCGGCGUGCCUAAUACAUGCAAGUCGAGCGAACAGACGAGGAGUUUGCUCCUCUGACGUUAGCGGCGGACGGGUGAGUAACAUGUGUAUAACCUACCUAUAAGACUGGGAUAACUUCGGGAAACGGGCGCUUAUACGGGAUAAUAUAUUGCACCGCAUUGUUCAAUAGUGAAAUUCGGUUUUUCUGGCACUAAUAGCUGGAUCCGCGCCUCAUUCGUUAGUUGGUAAGGUAACGGCUUACCAAGGCAACGAUGCGUAGCCGACCUGAAAGAGUGGUCGGCCACACUGGAAGUGAGACUGGGUCCAGACUCCUGCGGUAGGGAGCAGUCGGGAAUCUUACGCAAUGGGGGAGAGCCUGACGGAACAACGCCGCGUGAGUGAUGAAGGUGUCCGGAUCGUAAAGCUCUGUUAGUAGGGAAGAACAAAUGUGUAAGUAGCUGGGCACGUCUUGACGGUACCUGAUCAAGAAGCCACGGCUAACUACGUG